GAUGAACGCUAGCGGGAGGCUUAACACAUGCAAGUCGAGGGGUAACAGGUUCCGCAAGGGAUGCUGACGACCGGCGUACGGGUGAGUAACGCGUAUGUAACCUGCCCUGUACAGGGGGGAUAGCCCGGAGAAAUUCGGAUUAAUACCCCAUAAUGAUAUUUGGAGGCAUCUUUGAAUAUUUAAAGUUUCGGCGGUACAGGAAGGGCAUGCGUAACAUUAGCUGGUUGGUAGGGUAACGGCCUACCAAGGCGACGAUGUUUAGGGGGACCUGAGAGGGUGAUCCCCCACACUGGUACUGAGACACGGACCAGACUCCUACGGGAGGCUG
rnacentral:rRNA from 1 species